GGGGGAGUAUGGUCGCAAGGCUGAAACUUAAAGGAAUUGACGGAAGGGCACCACCAGGUGUGGAGCCUGCGGCUUAAUUUGACUCAACACGGGGAAACUCACCAGGUCCAGACAUAACUAGGAUUGACAGAUCGGGGGGCCGGCAACGGGACUCUGUCGCUGGGAAGCUGAUUAAACUUGGUCAUUUAGAGGAAGUAAAAGGCGUAACAAGGUUUCCGUAGGGGAACCUGCUUUGUAGGAGUUCUUUCAUCGGGUUUUUGAAGGUGCUCAUUAUGAGUUACUUGAAAAGACUAGUUGACAAGGCUUCUAUGUUCUUAUAAACCAUUGAAGUAUGUUAUAGAAUGAUCUUGUUAUUGGGACUUUAUUGACCCUUUAAACUUAAUACAACUUCAGCAACGGAUCUCUUGGCCCUCCCAUCGAUCGAAGAACGCAGCGAAAUGCGAUAAGUAAUGUGAAUUGCAGAAUUCAGU
rfam:Lentinula edodes NBRC 111202 DNA, contig: scaffold1127.